rnacentral:rRNA from 1 species
UACGUAGGUGGCAAGCGUUGUCCGGAUUUACUGGGCGUAAAGAGCGCGCAGGCGGUCGUAUAAGUCGAAUGUGAAAGCCCCCGGCUCAACUGGGGAGGGUCAUUCGAUACUGUUCGACUCGAAGGCAGGAGAGGAAAGUGGAAUUCCGGGUGUAGUGGUGAAAUGCGUAGAUAUCCGGAGGAACACCAGUGGCGAAGGCGACUUUCUGGCCUGUUCUUGACGCUGAGGCGCGAAAGCUAGGGGAGCAAACGGG